GGUAUGAGUUUAUACGUGUAUUAAGGUGUCGAUACUGUUUUGCAUCUGUUUGAUUAUACGUAGUUGUUUGAAUUUAUAUAUAUUUUACAUAGAAUAAAAUCAAACAAUGACAUUAAACACUGCAAUUAAUAAUUUUACUUCUGUCAUUAAACUUCUCGUUAUAGUUAUUUUAGUGUUUGAAACGAUACAAGCUUGUAAAAUAAUCAGCCAAUUGUGUAUAUCGGACAGCGAUUGCUGUUCUAAACAUUGUGGAUGGUUCACUUGCACCUAUAAAGAAGAUCGUCCUAUCCUAACUACACUUAGCAACAUUAGUAGCUUGAAAUGAAUUAUAUAACCAACAAGUUGUAGACAGGUAUUGUUUACUAGCGAUUCAGGCUAGACAGCAUUUUAGAAAAUCAAACUGUCUGGUCCACACACAACUUGGUUUAAAAUACAAAUUAAAUUAAUAUAUAUGAAUAAAAACUUUUCAAUCACAUUA